rnacentral:rRNA from 1 species
UACGAAGGGGGCUAGCGUUGCUCGGAAUCACUGGGCGUAAAGGGUGCGUAGGCGGGUCUUUAAGUCAGGGGUGAAAUCCUGGAGCUCAACUCCAGAACUGCCUUUGAUACUGAAGAUCUUGAGUUCGGGAGAGGUGAGUGGAACUGCGAGUGUAGAGGUGAAAUUCGUAGAGAUGUGGAGGAACACCUGUGGCGAAGGCGCCUUGCUGGCCGAUUUCUGACGCUGAGGCGCGAAAGCGUGGGGAGCAAACAGG